UGAGGGUGGGGGUGGUAAGGAACUGGUGGUGGUGGAGAAGUGUAGUAGUAUGGUGGAUGUGGAGGCUUCAUUGGCGGCGGUGGAGAAGUGUAGUAGUAUGGUGGAUGUGGAGGCUUCAUUGGCGGUGGUGGAGAAUUGUAGUAGUAUGGUGGAUGUGGAGGCUUCAUUGGCGGUGGUGGAGAAUUGUAGUAGUACGGUGGAUGUGGAGGCUUCAUUGGUGGCGGUGGAGGAGAAGUGUAGUAGUAUGGUGGAUGUGGAGGCUUCACUGGUGGUGGUGGAGAAUUAUAGUAGUAUGGUGGAUGUGGAGGCUUCAUUGGUGGUGGUGGAGGAGAAGUGUAGUAGUAUGGUGGAUGUGGUGACUUAACUGGUGGUGGAGGAGAAGUGUAGUAGUAUGGUGGAUGUGGAGGCUUCAUUGGUGGUGGUGGAGAAAUAUAGUAGUACGGUGGAUGUCUUCACUGGUGGUGGGUGGGGAAGUGUAGUAGUAAGGUGGAUGGGGUGAUUUCACUGGUGGUGGAGGUGAAUGGUAGUAGUAAGGUGGAAGAGACUUCUCUGGUGGUGGAGGAGAGCUGUAGUUGUAUGGCGGUGGAGGUGAAUUAUAGUAAUAUGGUGGAGGUGGUGAAACAUAAUGGUAGGGAGGUAGAGGGGAUGGUGAUGGUGGUGGGGGAGAUUUGUAUUCGUAUGGUGGAGGUGGUGAGGGUGACGGUGGUGGUGGAGACUUGUACUCAUAUGGGGGAGGUGGAGAAGGUGAAGGUGGGGGAGGAGACUUAUAUUCAUAUGGUGGUGGGGGAGGAGACUUGUAUUCAUACGGUGGAGGUGAAGGUGAGGGUGGUGGUGGAGACUUGUACUCAUAUGGUGGAGGUUUAGGAGAGGGUGGUGGUGGAGACUUGUACUCAUAUGGUGGUGGGGGAGGAGACUUAUAUUCAUAUGGUGGAGGUGAAGGUGAGGGUGGUGGUGGAGACUUGUACUCAUAUGGUGGAGGUUUAGGAGAGGGUGGUGGUGGAGACUUGUACUCAUAUGGUGGUGGGGGAGGAGACUUGUAUUCAUAUGGUGGAGGUGAAGGAGAGGGUGGCGGUGGAGACUUGUACUCAUAUGGUGGUGGUGGAGGAGACUUGUAUUCAUAUGGAGGUGAAGGAGAGGGUGGCGGUGGAGACUUGUACUCAUAUGGUGGUGGUGGAGGAGACUUGUAUUCAUAUGGUGGAGGUGAAGGAGAGGGUGGCGGUGGAGACUUGUACUCAUAUGGUGGUGGGGAGGAGACUUGUAUUCAUAUGGUGCAGGUGAAGGAGAGGGUGGCGGUGGAGACUUGUACUCAUAUGGUGGUGGUGGAGGAGACUUGUAUUCAUAUGGUGCAGGUGAAGGAGAGGGUGGUGGUGGAGACUUGUACUCAUAUGGUGGUGGUGGAGGAGACUUGUAUUCAUAUGGUGGAGGUGAAGGAGAGGGUGGUGGUGGAGACUUGUACUCAUAUGGUGGAGGUGGAGAGGGUGAAGGUGGGGGAGGAGACUUAUACUCAUAUGGUGGUGGUGGAGGAGAUUUGUAUUCAUAUGGUGCAGGUGAAGGAGAGGGUGGUGGUGGAGACUUGUACUCAUAUGGUGGUGGUGGAGGAGACUUGUAUUCAUAUGGUGCAGGUGAAGGAGAGGGUGGUGGAGGAGACUUGUACUCAUAUGGUGGAGGUGAAGGAGAGGGUGGUGGAGGAGACUUGUAUUCAUAUGGUGGUGGGGGAGGAGACUUGUAUUCAUAUGGUGGAGGUGAAGGUGAGGGUGGUGGUGGAGACUUGUACUCAUAUGGUGGAGGAGAAGGAGAGGGUGGUGGUGGAGACUUGUACUCAUAUGGUGGUGGGGGAGGAGACUUGUAUUCAUAUGGUGGAGGUGAAGGAGAGGGCGGUGGUGGAGACUUAUACUCAUAUGGUGUGGGGGAGAGGAGACUUGUAUUCAUAUGGUGGAGGUGAAGGAGAGGGUGGGGGAGGAGACUUAUAUUCAUAUGGUGGUGGGGGAGGAGACUUGUAUUCAUAUGGUGGAGGUGAAGGAGAGGGUGGUGGUGGAGACUUGUACUCAUAUGUUGGUGGAGGUGGUGAAGGGGAGGGUGGUGGCGGAGACUUGUACUCAUAUGGUGGUGGUGGAGAAGGUGAUGGUGGUGGAGGAGACUUGUACUCAUAAGGUGGUGGUGGAGAAGGUGAAGGUGGAGGAGGUGACUUGUACUCAUAAGGAGGAGGUGGGGGUGAAGAAUAAGGGUCUGCUGAGACCACCACUGAAACAGCCAAAAUGGCCAAUGCCACUAGCAACAGACGACCCCUGGCGGGGUCGCCCCAUCGAAGCCACAUUCCUCGCCGGAAAACUCUUCCUGUGCAGCCAAUGUUGAAGCCCAGCACCUCCUCUGAUGAUGAAGAUGAAAGAACCUGGAGCUGGAGCUGGAGCUGGAGGAGUAGUUAGAAUAGUCAGAAGAGCACAAAUUUUAGUGCUUUAGUUGAGAGGAUACACCUUUUGCAUCCAAUGUGUCAAUUAUUUAUACAGCAAAAGAGAAAGAACUAGUCGUUAAAAGAAAGCUGUCAAUUAGGGACCAAUACAAUUUCUUUGUUAGAUUUUUUGUAGUAAAUUUUUACAAUCAAC
rnacentral:lncRNA from 1 species